CGGCGGACGGGUGAGUAAUGCCUAGGAAUCUGCCUGGUAGUGGGGGACAACGUUUCGAAAGGAACGCUAAUACCGCAUACGUCCUACGGGAGAAAGCAGGGACCUUCGGGCCUUGCGCUAUCAGAUGAGCCUAGGUCGGAUUAGCUAGUUGGUGAGGUAAUGGCUCACCAAGGCGACGAUCCGUAACUGGUCUGAGAGGAUGAUCAGUCACACUGGAACUGAGACACGGUCCAGACUCCUACGGGAGCAGCAGU
rnacentral:rRNA from 1 species